GUCCACGCCGUAAACGUUGGGCGCUAGGUGUGGGGAACCUUCCACGUUCUCCGUGCCGCAGCUAACGCAUUAAGCGCCCCGCCUGGGGGAGUACGGCCGCAAGGCUAAAACUCAAAGGAAUUGACGGGGGCCCGCACAAGCGGCGGAGCAUGUGGCUUAAUUCGACGCAACGCGAAGAACCUUACCAAGGCUUGACAUAUACCGAAAACUCGUAGAGAUACGGGGUCCGCAAGGGCGGUAUACAGGUGGUGCAUGGUUGUCGU
rnacentral:rRNA from 1 species